rnacentral:rRNA from 1 species
CGCGGGUGAGUAACGCGUAUCCAACCUGCCGUCUACUCUUGGACAGCCUUCUGAAAGGAAGAUUAAUACAAGAUGGCAUCAUGAGUCCGCAUGUUCACAUGAUUAAAGGUAUUCCGGUAGACGAUGGGGAUGCGUUCCAUUAGAUAGUAGGCGGGGUAACGGCCCACCUAGUCUUCGAUGGAUAGGGGUUCUGAGAGGAAGGUCCCCCACAUUGGAACUGAGACACGGUCCAA